rnacentral:rRNA from 1 species
CCUACGGGCGGCAGCAGUGGGGAAUAUUGGACAAUGGGGGAAACCCUGAUGCAGCGACGCCGCGUGAGUGAAGAAGGAUUUCGGUAUGUAAAGCUCUAUCAGCAGGGAAGAAAAUGACGGUACCGGAUUAAGAAGCCCCGGCUAACUACGUGCCAGCAGCCGCGGUAAUACGUCGGGGGAAAGCGUUAUCCGGAAUUACUGGGUGUAAAGGGAGCGGAGACGGCAGCACAAGUCUGGAGUGAAAUGCCGGAGCUUAACCCCGGGACAGCUUUGGAAACUGUGCAGCUAGAGUGCAGGAGAGGUAAGUGGAAUUCCUAGUGUAGCGGUGAAAUGCGUAGAUAUUAGGAGGAACACCAGUGGCGAAGGCGACUUACUGGACUGUAACUGACGUUGAGGCUCGAAAGCGUGGGGAGCAAACAGGAUUAGAUACCCUUGUAGUC